GACGAACGCUGGCGGCGUGCUUAACACAUGCAAGUCGAACGGAGAAGCGCCUUCCUUUUUGGUGGGAGUGGAUGAGUGGCGAACGGGUGAGUAACACGUUAGUAACCUGCCCCCUCCUUCUGGAUAACCGCAUGAAGGAGUGGCUAAUACGUGAUAUUCUGAGUCUGUCGCAUGAUAGGUCUGGGACAGACUUUGUUUCGGUGGUGGAUGGACUCGCGGCCCAUUAGCUAGUUGGUGGGGUGAUGGCUUACCAAGGCGGCGAUGCAUAGCCGGCCUGAGAGGGUGGUGGGCCGUCCUAGAGGGGAGGCGACGCGGACCAGACUCCGGCGGGAGGCAGCAGUGGGGAUUCCGGCACGAUGGGCGGAAGGCUGGUGCAGCGACGCCUCAGGGGUGAUGGAGUCCUUCUGGUUGUGAACCUCUUUCGCCAGUGAAGCAGGCCUGCCUCGUCUGUGCGUGGGUUGACGGUAGCUGGACAGAAAGCGCCGGCUAACUACGUG
rnacentral:rRNA from 1 species